AUAUGUCUAGCUCCCUGUAUGCCACUCGUCUAGCUGCCAACCCGGUUAAGCUCUAGUGCGGAUGACGCGCGAGGAGCAAGCAUGA
rnacentral:pre_miRNA from 1 species